rnacentral:rRNA from 1 species
UACGUAGGGGGCAAGCGUUGUCCGGAUUUAUUGGGCGUAAAGAGCGUGUAGGCGGCCAGGUAGGUCAGCUGUGAAAACUCGAGGCUCAACCUCGAGACGUCGGUGGAAACCGCAUGGCUAGAGUCCGGAAGAGGAGAGUGGAAUUCCCGGUGUAGCGGUGAAAUGCGCAGAUAUCGGGAAGAACACCCGUGGCGAAGGCGGCUCUCUGGGACGGUACUGACGCUGAGGCUCGAAAGCGUGGGGAUCAAACAGG